CAGCAGCCGCGGGAAUACAGAGGAUGCAAGCGUUAUCCGGAAUGAUUGGGCGUAAAGCGUCUGUAGGUGGCUUUUCAAGUCCGCCGUCAAAUCCCAGGGCUCAACCCUGGAUAGGCGGUGGAAACUACCAAGCUGGAGUACGGUAGGGGCAGAGGGAAUUUCCGGUGGAGCGGUGGGAUGCGUUGAGAUCGGAAAGAACACCAACGACGAAAGCACUCUGCUGGGCCGACACUGACACUGAGAGACGAAAGCUAGGGGAGCAAAUGGGAUUAGAUACCCCUGUAGUCCCUGUCUCUUAUAC
rnacentral:rRNA from 1 species